AAGAUCAGGAAUCUCUGUCCCAUCGCCGGUCCCAUCCUCCAUAGUCUCAUCAGCAUCAGCUCGGAGAUCAUCACCAUCUCCUCCACGAGCAUCACCUGUGCCGCCAUCUCCACCUCCACGAGUCUCAUCAACAAGACCCUACAAAAUUAAAAUAUUAAUAACGGAGUCCCCAAAAUAGAUCAUAUUUAUAUUAUUUUAGUUUGUGUUCUACAAGUGUUGUUCAGUUUCGCAAACAGGGCGAUAACUCGGUCUCCGUAUGUCGGAAUCGAGUACCGUCAGUUGUAACGCGUGUCUAAUACCUACGCGGUGCUGUGUGUGUGUUUGCGUGGCGUUCGGACGGACGAUGCGGGUUUCGGGCUCUUUUUCGGCUUUUUGGCUAAGUGUUGUUCAGUUUCGCAAACAGGGCGAUAACUCGGUCUCCGUAUGUCGGAAUCGAGUACCGUCAGUUGUAACGCGUGCCUAAUACCUACGCGGUGCUGUGUGUGUGUUUGCGUGGCGUUCGGACGGACGAUGCGGGUUUCGGGCUCUUUUUCGGCUUUUUGGCUAAGUGUUGUUCAGUUUCGCAAACAGGGCGAUAACUCGGUCUCCGUAUGUCGGAAUCGAGUACCGUCAGUUGUAACGCGUGCCUAAUACCUACGCGGUGCUGUGUGUGUGUUUGCGUGGCGUUCGGACGGACGAUGCGGGUUUCGGGCUCUUUUUCGGCUUUUUGGCUAAGUGUUGUUCAGUUUCGCAAACAGGGCGAUAACUCGGUCUCCGUAUGUCGGAAUCGAGUACCGUCAGUUGUAACGCGUGCCUAAUACCUACGCGGUGCUGUGUGUGUGUUUGCGUGGCGUUCGGACGGACGAUGCGGGUUUCAGGAUCUUUUUCGGCUUUUUGCCUAAGUGUUGUUCAAUUUCGCAAACAGGGCGAUAACUCGGUCUCCGUAUGUCGGAAUCGAGUACCGUCAGUUAUAACGCGUGCCUAAUACCUACGUGGUGCUGUGUGUGUCUAAUGGUGUUAGGGUUUUAUCUUAUGUUUAUCUAAGCAAUACAAUUAAAAAUUACAUAAAUUAAAUAAGGAAAUACAGAAUUUAAUUAUUUUUACCUGUCGAAUAUGUGGUGGGAAGAUGUUGGCCAAGACAACUGCACACACGCGGAUGGCCUCCUCCCGUACUACACCCAUGAGAUCAUCAACGGCAGCUGUAGGAUCGAUAGAGCCGUGGACAGCCUCCUGAGCCAGCUGAUAUAUCCGCUCGCGUGAUGGUGCGCCUGACUGCACAACACCGCUCGACAUGCACCCCUCUAUGAUCCACCGGAAGAAGUCAUCGGAUAAUGAAGGGCCGGCGCCCGAUCCACUCGCACCACUACCUCCAGUGGGUGGGCGUCGUCGAGAUCUCGCAGCAGGGACUAGGGUGUAAGCUGGGACAUGGGGAAUGCCCACAACUCUACCCUUCUUCGGUCCCCCUGUAGCCUGCAGCCAGUCCUCUAUCUCCUCGUCUGCACACGUAGACUCGUCUACUGGAGUGUCACCUCUCUGGCUGCUCCGGGCCACUGCAAGAUCUUCGAACCGUCGCUGACAAAAAACACAUUAGUGGAUGAUACGCAAAGUAUAAAAUGAAAUAAUAUAAAAGAAUAUCCGAAUUUUAAAUACAUAUUAAAUAAGAGCAUUAAAUAACUUACAGCAAUGCGUUCUGCCUCAGGUGAGAUAUAACCACCGUCACCUUUCUUUUGGUGGGCGUGCCACCAAAACUCCAAGCGGGAGGGUGCAUGCUUUAAACUCACCUCAAGUCUCUCCCGGUACAGGUCGUACGACUGAGACCCAGUGCAGUGUGGGAGACGACUCUG
rnacentral:lncRNA from 1 species